GAAAGUAAAAGUAGGUGGUUGCAGAUUCUCAAACAUGGGGAUCUGAGGAAAGUCCGGGCUUCCGAAAGACCGAACUUGCUGGGUAACGCCCAGUGCGGGUGACCGUGAGGAGAGUGCCACAGAAACAUACCGCCGAUGAAGCAAGAACGAGCUCGGGCGUCGUCUUCGGGCGUCGUUUUCCGGAUUCUUGCUAACAGGUAAGGGUGCAAAGGUGCGGUAAGAGCGCACCAGCAGCGUCGAGAGGCGCUGGCUCGGUAAACCCCGGUUGGAAGCAAGGUAAGAGGGAACUAAGGUUGGUCUUUUCCCGGUUCCCGUUAGUAGAGCCGCUUGAGGCGUCUGGUAACAGGCGUCCCAGAUAGAUAACCGCCCUGUGCUUCCCUCGGGAAGUGCAGAACAGAACCCGGCUUACUCUUUACUUUCUCUC
rnacentral:RNase_P_RNA from 2 species